AUAUAAUAUUGUUAGGUGAGGCUCCUAUAAAGAAAUAUGCUGCUGCCCAGAAAAAUCUAGAGAUUCCAAUGGGUUAACAAGAAUCAUCGUAAAGGUGAUUUUUAAUGUAGCUGACUGAAAAAGUCUACGCUUUAUAGUGCUAAAGCUCUACGAUUAUUUAAA
rfam:Clostridium disporicum strain 2789STDY5834856 genome assembly, contig: SCcontig000007